UGCCAGCAGCCGCGGUAAUACCGGCGCCUCAAGUGGUAGUCGCUUUUAUUGGGCCUAAAACGUCCGUAGCCGGUCUGGUACAUUCGUGGGUAAAUCAACUCGCUCAACGAGUUGAAUUCUGCGAGGACGGCCAGACUUGGGACCGGGAGAGGUGUGGGGUACUCUCAGGGUAGGGGUAAAAUCCUGUCAUCCUGAGAGGACCACCUGUUGCGAAGGCUCCACACUAGAACGGAUCCGACGGUCAGGGACGAAGCCUAGGGGCACGAACCGGAUUAGAUA
rnacentral:rRNA from 1 species